CGUAGGGUGCGAGCGUUAAUCGGAAUUACUGGGCGUAAAGCGUGCGCAGGCGGUUUUGUAAGACAGGCGUGAAAUCCCCGGGCUCAACCUGGGAACUGCGCUUGUGACUGCAAGGCUAGAGUACGGCAGAGGGGGUGGAAUUCCACGUGUAGCAGUGAAAUGCGUAGAGAUGUGGAGGAACACCAAUGGCGAAGGCAGCCCCCUGGGUCGAUACUGACGCUCAUGCACGAAAGCGUGGGUAGCGAACAGGAUUAGAUACCCUGGUAGUCCACGCCCUAAACGAUGUCAACUAGGUGUUGGGUGGGUAAAACCAUUUAGUACCGGAGCUAACGCGUGAAGUUGACCGCCUGGGGAGUACGGCCGCAAGGUUA
rnacentral:rRNA from 1 species